AUUGGGUGGCUCCAUCUACAGCUGGAAUAAGGUGAAAAGAGGCCAAGAGAGAGAGAUGCAGCUGAGGCAAGACAGGAAGCAAGAAGGAGAGAAAGAUGUAGCUGAGGCAGUGGUGCACCUAGCCUUCUCUGGCACAGAAUCAAGAAACAUGAAGUAUAUCAACAUAGUUUUAGCACAGAGGGUGAAACAAUGGCAACAGGGCAGGGCGGAGUGAAGGUACAGUCUUUUCAAAGAAUGUAGCAUGAAUGGAGCCCUCAAGGCUCCAUACUCUCUCCAAUGCUUUUUAACAUCUACAUGAAACUGCUGGGAGAGAUCAUCAGGAGAUUUGGAGCCGAGGGUUACCAGUAUGCUGAUGACACCCAGAUCUACGUCUCCAUGUCAACUUCCUCAGGAACUGGCAUAUCCUCCCUAAAUACCUGCCGGAAGCAGUAAUGGGCUGGAUGAGGGAGAAUAAACUGAAGCUGAAUCCAGAUAAGACGGAGGUGCUUAUUGUGUGGGGUCAGAACUCCGGAGAUGACUUUGACCUACCUGUUCUAGAUGGGUUCACACUCCCUCAAAAGGAACAGGUUCGCAGUCUGGGAGUACUUCUGGAUCCACACCUCUCCCUGGUUUCUCUGGUUGAGCUGGUGGCCAGGGGUGCUUUCUAUCAGCUCCGGCUGAUACGCCACCUACGCCCGUUUCUCGAGAUCAAUGACCUCAAAACAGUGGUUCAUCUGUUGGUAACCUCCAGACUUGACUUCUGUAAUGCACUCUACGUGGGGCUGCCUUUGUACGUAGUCUGGAAACUUCAGUUGGUUCAGAAUGCGGCAGCCAGGUUGGUCUCUGGAUCAUCUUGGAGAGACCACAUUACUCUUCUAUUGAUGGAGCUACACUGUCUGCCAAUAGGUUUCCGGGUUUUUUAUAAUUUCUGUUUUAAUUGUUAAUUGAUUUUAAUUGUGUUGUUUUAAUGUAAACUGCCCUGAGCCUUUUGGAAGGGCGGUAUAAAAUCUUAAUAAGAAAGAAAGAAAGAAAGAAAGAAAGAAAGAAAGAAGGAAAGAAAGAAAGAAAGAAAGAAAAUAUACAAGUAGUAUGAGAUUCUUUUAAAGCAACAUUGAGAGGAGAAUAUUUUAGUCAAGCAGAAAGGACACAAAAAAUCAGGAACCCGGAAAGAGAAAAAUAUUAAAAGAAUUUAGAGACUUAGAACAUCAACAUAAACAGACAGGAAAUGCUUUUUUCUUUUUACACAACAAACUUCAAAAAGCUAGAUCAAAACUGAACCUUUUAGACAAGCCUAAAAUCCAAAAACAAUUACUCUAUAUUUGGCAUAAUUCUUAUGAGAAAGGAGCUCGGGCUACUAAAUCCCUAGCAAAGCAUUUGACGAAUAAACAUUAAUCUAAAACUGUUAAAUUACUCAUCCCCAAAAGCAUAAAUGCUUUACCAAUCAUAUAUAUAUAUAUAUAUAUAUAUAUAUAUAUGAAUUUACCACAUAUUACCAAAACCUAUACUCUUCAGAACUACUGCAUAAUAACAAAAUAAAUGACUUGAUACAAAAUUAGCUCCAGCAGCAGAGACCCCCAAUUUACACAGAAAUCUGGAAGCACCUAUUCUAGAUAAAGAAAUAGACAUAAUCAUCAAUUCUACAAUGACAGACAAGUCCCCUGGACCCAAUGGAUUCUCAAUAGACUAUAAUAGAAAAUGUAAAUUUCAUCUCCUCAAUCUAUUAACUCCCCUAUUUAAUAAUAUUUUGGAAACUGGCCUUGUCCCUCAGUCCUGGAUGGAAAUGUACAUAGCGUAAUUCUCAAACCCAAGAGAGAUAACACCAAACCAGAAU